CCCAGAGUGGUGUAAUGGUAGCAUUCCGAUCUGACACAUGGGGAAGCCGGCAGCGCAGAACCAUGCCCGCAAGGGAUGAAGGGAUCCGGGUUCGAAUCCCGGCUCUGGGA